UACGUAGGCAGCAAGCGUUGUUCGGAGUUACUGGGCGUAAAGGGUGUGUAGGCGGUCCUCUAAGUUUGGUGUGAAAUCUCCCGGCUCAACUGGGAGGGUGCGCCGAAAACUGGGGGGCUAGAGUACUGGAUGGGAGAGUGGAAUUCCUGGUGUAGCGGUGAAAUGCGUAGAUAUCAGGAGGAACACCGGUGGCGAAGGCGGGUCUCUGGGCCGAUACUGACGCUGAGGAGCGAAAGCGUGGGGAGCAAACAGG
rnacentral:rRNA from 1 species